CAGUAGCCGCGGUAAUACGUAGGGCGCAAGCGUUGUCCGGAAUUAUUGGGCGUAAAGAGCUCGUAGGCGGUCUGUCGCGUCUGGUGUGAAAUCCCGAGGCUCAACCUCGGGCUUGCAUCGGGUACGGGCAGACUAGAGUGCGGUAGGGGAGACUGGAAUUCCUGGUGUAGCGGUGGAAUGCGCAGAUAUCAGGAGGAACACCGAUGGCGAAGGCAGGUCUCUGGGCCGCAACUGACGCUGAGGAGCGAAAGCAUGGGGAGCGAACAGGAUUAGAUACCCCCGUAGUCCCUGUAUCUUAUAC
rnacentral:rRNA from 1 species